rnacentral:lncRNA from 1 species
ACCACACACCCACAUGAAAAGUGUUAAUCUACAAAUAUGUUUCGCAGGAAUUUGACCCAUGUGCCUUGAGGUAAUGACUUGAACGUGGAUCCCUGCACCCCAAAAAUGAAAGUAAAGAGAAGACUUUGGCUCUGGAAGGCUCACAGCGUUUGAAGUAAAUCAUUCCUCAUGGCAGUAUCAAAAUCCAAAGACACAGGAAUUUUGAGGAUUUGUCUAUGGACUCAAUAGAAUCUAAAACCAAAUAUUUAGUAACGCUUCUUCUACGUGGAGGAAGAUGCAGUGAGUCUGCAGUGAUACAGAAGUCCAAGUGGGAUCUCUUCUGCUGCCCAAAGCCACAAGAGAGGAGACAUCUUCUGUGCAGA